rnacentral:lncRNA from 1 species
GGCUUCAGGUUUAAAGGCGCGAGCGCCACCCACGCAGGCACAAGGGCUCCUAGUCGUUUUAUUUUUAGCGUAAGGUUUUCCUCUUUAACAAGGAAGUAAAAAAAAAAGUUGUGCAAUAAAUAUUAAUCGUCCUUAUAUGUACUCGGGAACGUUCGUCCUUUAGGUUUUCUCCUGGCGCAUGGGCGCCGCCAAUCAUUUCGGGGCUUAUUUUGGUUCUAAAGCCCGGGGCAGCCAGGCCUCCCUGCCUGGCCUCGGCGGGGACGCGGGACCUGGGGCCCCGGACCGGGCCUAACCGCCCUGGCCGGUCCCCACUGAUGGUGGCGGUCGGUCCUGAUCGUCCUGAUGGCAGCGACCAGGCUGGACUCGGGCUGUGCAGGGGCGAGGGGAGCAGGGCGGGGUGACGCCCGGAGAGCGGCCUGGAGAGCGCGUGCUUCAGAAGGCGUGGGCACCCUGUCCCCUUUGCAGAUGGGGAUGCAGGCCCUGGUGGCGGUGGAGGGGAGAUGGGGGCAGGGACGUUGCCGGGCAGAGGAAGCUGGAAGUUUGGCUGCUGUAACUGACUGGGAAGCUUAAAAUAACAGACAAUCAUCUCUCACAUUUAUGGGGACUGGGAAGUCCAAGACCAAGUUGCCAUCUGGGGAGGGCCUGUUCCUCACAGCGCCUUCCAGCUCAGGCCUCGUUUAUAAGGGCACUCAAGCCUUCCACGACAACGGGUCCUCAUGACUUACUCACCUCGGAAAGCCCCACCCCCAAGACCAUCACAUUGUGGGUGAUGGCAGAGCAUAAGGUGCCUUCCCCACAUGCUCGGGUUGGCCCAGCGUCUCACGCUAGCAGCUACGUGGAAUAGUUAUUUUUUCUGGAGAACUCUGGGACCCCUCUGAUGUCUUGGAGCACCCACACAGGCCGUUCACUGUGCACGCUGUGAGGCUGUCGUCUUGGAGCACCCACACAGGCCGUUCACUGUGCACGUGGUGAGGCUGUCCUCUGGGGAGUUCUGCUGUUGUAUGGGUUCUGUCUGUGUCAAUGUCCCAGCGGGAACGCAGGGCACACUAGCGUCAUCCCCAGAGGGCUUGGUAAGGGGACUGUUUGCAGAGACAUAGGCAGAGGGCUGGAAAACUACCAAAAAAGUGCAGUGUUCUGGACCUAAUAAUAGCAGAGCUAUUCUCACCCUGGUCUGAAGGCAGGAGGGGAGGAGCAGUUAAUGGAUUCUGGAAGUCAGGUUGCACAGAGUCACCUUGAAAGAUGCCAUGACCUUCACCGAGGGCCAGACAGAGACUAAGAUGACCCCAUAGGAGAAUAAGACCUAGACCUCAUCCUCCUGCCUCCUGCCAGUCCCUGCCAGGGGUCGCCAAUGGCAAAACAGGACUGGAAGCCAGAGGCCAUGGAAGCCCAUGGAUGAAGUCCACAGGCCAGCCUCCCCGAGAGCAGCCUGGACGGUCCGCAGGAGACGUCUCCUGUCUUAGGCGUCCCACGCCGCGUGCUCCUGUUCAGCCCUGCCGAGGUGGAAGCUUGGAGUGGCUCACGGUGGAUGCAUUGACGCUGCAGACGCCAGCAAGUGCUACAAACCAGAGCUGGCCUUUAACUCAGACUGAUGGAGAAGGUGUUAAUAAUGCAGAUUAGACUUAAAAGUGUUGAAGCCAUUGCACUGUGAACAGCAAAAAAAUUGAAGAACUCUUCUGGCAUUUAAAAACAAUUACUCAGUUCAGCAGAGAAGUCACUGACAAACGAGAUCACACUGACUGCUUUGUCGUUUUGGUUUUGUCUUACUCAUUAAUGCAAAUAAGAACAUUCACUAGCAUCUGUGUCGGGCCUACCCUCCCUGGUCAAAUACAGCUACAGUCUCCCUGCAGAAACGAGUUUUCCAGAAAUGAGCCGAUGUUUUCUGCGAGAAUCAAUUGGUCAUAUACAAUUUACAAAAAUGAGUACUGUAUACUAUAUUUGUAAACUGUACACUGCAGAUGCUUUAUUUCACUGAAAUUUAUAAUACACUUAUCCAUGUAUAUGCAUGCAUGCAUUUUUGUUCCUGAGAUCCAGCUGUGAAAUGUUUACCAGCACAUAAAUUACCAGCACAUGCUCUUUUUUGUUAACCUACUAGGUAAAAUCUUCAUUUAUUACAUCAAAUUCUUGUAGUUUUUGUAUUGCAAUUAUGCAGAUAUUGAUUAUCGCAGUAUUACUGCAAUUAUACAGAUACCACAAUUUCAGAUAUUGAUCAGCGUGUUCAGUUGGUUUCUAAGGAGGUUUACUUACCUCAUGGUACACCUAGUUUGCAUAGUUUGAUUAUAUUUAACUCUUAUGCUAAUUGGGGGAAGUCAUUGAUUUAUUGGACAGAUGCACCUGUGGUCUUCCCUGAGCACAUCCUGGCCAAGGAUGCUGCCCCCAGGAGAUUUGAGAAGUCCUGUAAGGAUCAUAUCAGUAUUUUCAAAUACUUAUAGAAAAGCCAGAGGGAUUGACCCAGAAUUACCAAUAUAAGCUUGACCCUGAGAUAACAAUGCCAUUUUAUGUUUGCAUGCAUAAAACCAAUGCAAGAGGCUGAUGACUCCAGAUCCCUUAUAUAAGCCAAUAAAAAGUAGUUUCAUUUUUUAUUUCAUUUAAAAAA